rnacentral:rRNA from 1 species
CGUAGGUGGCAAGCGUUGUCCGGAUUUAUUGGGUUUAAAGGGUGCGUAGGUGGCCCUGUAAGUCAGUGGUGAAAUAUCUCAGCUUUAACUGAGAGGGUGCCAUUGAUACUGCAGGGCUUGAGUACAGAUGAGGUGGGCGGAAUUGACGGUGUAGCGGUGAAAUGCAUAGAUAUCGUCAAGAACACCGAUAGCGAAGGCAGCUUACCAAGCUGUAACUGACACUGAGGCACGAAAGUGUGGGGAUCAAACAGGAUUAGAUACCCUGGUAGUCCACACUGUAAACGUUGAUGACUCGAUGUUGGCGAUACACAGCCAGCGUCCAAGAGCAAUCGUUAAGUCAUCCACCUGGGGAGUACGCCGGCAACGGUG